UAGAGUUUGAUCAUGGCUCAGGAUGAACGCUAGCGACAGGCUUAACACAUGCAAGUCGAGGGGCAGCGGGGAGGUAGCAAUACUUCCGCCGGCGACCGGCGCACGGGUGAGUAACACGUAUGGAACCUGCCCGUAGCAGGGGGAUAAACGGAAGAAAUUCCGUCUAAUACCGCGUAAUAACUCCGAGAGGCAUCUCAUGGAGUUUAAAGGGUAACACCGGCUACGGAUGGCCAUGCGGCGCAUUAGCUAGUUGGCGGGGUAACGGCCCACCAAGGCGACGAUGCGUAGGGGUUCUGAGAGGAAGGUCCCCCACACUGGUACUGAGACACGGACCAGACUCCUACGGGAGGCAGCAGUGAGGAAUAUUGGUCAAUGGGCGCGAGCCUGAACCAGCCAAGUCGCGUGAGGGAAGACGGUCCUAUGGAUUGUAAACCUCUUUUGUCGGGGAGCAAAAGACGCCACGUGUGGCGUUCCGAGAGUACCCGAAGAAAAAGCAUCGGCUAACUCCGUGCCAGCAGCCGCGGUAAUACGGAGGAUGCGAGCGUUAUCCGGAUUUAUUGGGUUUAAAGGGUGCGCAGGCGGAAGAUCAAGUCAGCGGUAAAAUUGAGAGGCUCAACCUCUUCGAGCCGUUGAAACUGGUUUUCUUGAGUGAGCGAGAAGUAUGCGGAAUGCGUGGUGUAGCGGUGAAAUGCAUAGAUAUCACGCAGAACUCCGAUUGCGAAGGCAGCAUACCGGCGCUCAACUGACGCUCAUGCACGAAAGUGUGGGUAUCGAACAGGAUUAGAUACCCUGGUAGUCCACACAGUAAACGAUGAAUACUAAUUGUUCGGGGAGAAUGAUCCCUGAGUGAUACAGCGAAAGCGUUAAGUAUUCCACCUGGGGAGUACGCCGGCAACGGUGAAACUCAAAGGAAUUGACGGGGGCCCGCACAAGCGGAGGAACAUGUGGUUUAAUUCGAUGAUACGCGAGGAACCUUACCCGGGCUCAAACGACACAGGAAUACUUUUGAAAGGAAGUAGCUCUACGGAGCCUGUGUCGAGGUGCUGCAUGGUUGUCGUCAGCUCGUGCCGUGAGGUGUCGGCUUAAGUGCCAUAACGAGCGCAACCCCCAUCGCCAGUUACCAGCAAGUCAAGUUGGGGACUCUGGCGAGACUGCCGGCGCAAGCUGUGAGGAAGGCGGGGAUGACGUCAAAUCAGCACGGCCCUUACGUCCGGGGCGACACACGUGUUACAAUGGCAGGUACAGAGAGAAGCAAUGCGGCGACGCAAAGCGGAACUUGAAAGCCUGUCUCAGUUCGGAUUGGAGUCUGCAACUCGACUCCAUGAAGCUGGAUUCGCUAGUAAUCGCGCAUCAGCCAUGGCGCGGUGAAUACGUUCCCGGGCCUUGUACACACCGCCCGUCAAGCCAUGGAAGCCGGGAGUGCCUGAAGUGUGCAACCGCAAGGAGCGCCCUAAGGUAAAACUGGUGACUGGGGCUAAGUCGUAACAAGGUAGCCGUA
rnacentral:rRNA from 1 species